rnacentral:rRNA from 1 species
GAGGAAUAUUGGUCAAUGGGCGAGAGCCUGAACCAGCCAAGUCGCGUGAAGGAAGAAGGAUCUAUGGUUCGUAAACUUCUUUUGCAGGGGAAUAAAGUGCAGGACGUGUCCUGUUUUGUAUGUACCCUGAGAAUAAGGAUCGGCUAUCUCCGUGCCAGCAGCCGCGGUAAUACGGAGGAUCCGAGCGUUAUCCGGAUUUAUUGGGUUUAAAGGGUGCGUAGGUGGUUUGAUAAGUCAGCGGUGAAAGUUUGCAGUCUUAACUGUAAAAAUGCCGUUGAAACUGUCGGACUUGAGUGUAAAUGAGGUAGGCGGAAUGCGUGGUGUAGCGGUGAAAUGCAUAGAUAUCACGCAGAACUCCGAUUGCGAAGGCAGCUUACUAAACAUAUAUUGACGCUGAUGCACGAAAGCGUGGGUAGCGAACA